rnacentral:tRNA from 1 species
GGAGGGAUGGCUCAGUGGUUAAGAGCACUGACUGCUCUUCCAGAGGUCCUGAGUUCAAUUCCCAGCCACCA